AGAGUUUGAUCAUGGCUCAGAUUGAACACUGGCGGCAGGCCUAACACAUGCAAGUCGAGCGGAUGAAGGGAGCUUGCUCCUGGAUUCAGCGGCGGACGGGUGAGUAAUGCCUAGGAAUCUGCCUGGUAGUGGGGGAUAACGUCCGGAAACGGGCGCUAAUACCGCAUACGUCCUGAGGGAGAAAGUGGGGGAUCUUCGGACCUCACGCUAUCAGAUGAGCCUAGGUCGGAUUAGCUAGUUGGUGGGGUAAAGGCCUACCAAGGCGACGAUCCGUAACUGGUCUGAGAGGAUGAUCAGUCACACUGGAACUGAGACACGGUCCAGACUCCUACGGGAGGCAGCAGUGGGGAAUAUUGGACAAUGGGCGAAAGCCUGAUCCAGCCAUGGCCGCGUGUGUGAAGAAGGUCUUCGGAUUGUAAAGACUUUAAGUUUGGGAGGAAGGGCAGUAAGUUAAUACCUUGCUGUUUUGACGUUACCAACAGAAUAAGCACCGGCUAACUUCGUGCCAGCAGCCGCGGUAAUACGAAGGGUGCAAGCGUUAAUCGGAAUUACUGGGCGUAAAGCGCGCGUAGGUGGUUCAGCAAGUUGGAUGUGAAAUCCCCGGGCUCAACCUGGGAACUGCAUCCAAAACUACUGAGCUAGAGUACGGUAGAGGGUGGUGGAAUUUCCUGUGUAGCGGUGAAAUGCGUAGAUAUAGGAAGGAACACCAGUGGCGAAGGCGACCACCUGGACUGAUACUGACACUG
rnacentral:rRNA from 1 species